rnacentral:ribozyme from 1 species
UGAUGGAGAGAUUAAUAAAAUAAAAAAUAAAAAACCCAAAAAAAUUAACUGUUUUGUAGCCUUAUAGCUUUAUUAC